rnacentral:rRNA from 1 species
UACGGAGGAGGCAAGCGUUAUCCGGAAUUAUUGGGCGUAAAGCGUCCGUAGGUGGUUGGCCAAGUCUGCUGUCAAAGGGUGGGGCUUAACCUCAUAAAGGCAGUGGAAACUGGCGAGCUAGAGUGCGGUAGGGGUAGGGGGAAUUCCCAGUGUAGCGGUGAAAUGCGUAGAGAUUGGGAAGAACAUCGGUGGCGAAAGCGCCCUGCUGGGCCUGCACUGACACUGAGGGACGAAAGCUAGGGUAGCGCAUGGG